AACGAACGCUGGCGGCAGGCUUAACACAUGCAAGUCGAGCGAGACCUUCGGGUCUAGCGGCGGACGGGUGAGUAACGCGUGGGAACGUGCCCUUCUCUACGGAAUAGCCCCGGGAAACUGGGAGUAAUACCGUAUAUGCCCUUUGGGGGAAAGAUUUAUAGGAGAAGGAUCGGCCUGCGUUGGAUUAGGUAGUUGGUGGGGUAAUGGCCCACCAAGCCGACGAUCCAUAGCUGGUUUGAGAGGAUGAUCAGCCACACUGGGACUGAGACACGGCCCAGACUCCUACGGGAGGCAGCAGUGGGGAAUCUUAGACAAUGGGGGCAACCCUGAUCUAGCCAUGCCGCGUGAGUGAUGAAGGCCUUAGGGUUGUAAAGCUCUUUCAGCUGGGAAGAUAAUGACGGUACCAGCAGAAGAAGCCCCGGCUAACUCCGUG
rnacentral:rRNA from 1 species